rnacentral:lncRNA from 1 species
GAGAUUUGAUAUUUUUAAAAAUGUAAGUUUCUCUGCACAAGCUCUCUUUUUGCCUGCUGCCAUCCACGUAAGAUGUGACUUGCACCUCCUUGUCUUCUGCCAUGAUUGUGAGGCUUCCCCAGCCAUGUGGAACUGCAUCUACCCCUGGAGAAAGAGCCCAAUGAGAAGUAAUCUCUGAAGCCCAGAUUUCCUAAGGAUGAAGCUUCAGGAGAGGUCUUAUCAAUCCUGAUAACAAACUUUUCUCGUCAAUUUAGUUUCAUUUAACGGAAGUUUUAAAUGUGGAAAGUUCAGAAGGCUAUUUAAAUUGGUUCCAGCUAUCUAAGAUACACACAUAACCACACACGCACACACACGAAUACAAACAUGCCUUCCCAAUCAUCUCCCAAAGUCUCAACUCAGUCCAGCAUUAACUCAAAAGACCAAAGUUCUAAGUCUCAUCUGAAACAAGGUGUUGACAAAGGAGAUUAUUAUUUGAGUCAGUGGACUGUGAGAAGCAGACCUACCCUCAAUCUGGGUGGGUGCCAUCUAGUCAGCUGCCAGUGUGGCUAGAAUGAAGCAGGCAGAAGUUGGAAAGAGCAGACCUGCUGAGUCUUCCGGCCCUCAUCUUUCUCCCAUGCUGGAUUCUUCCUGCCCUCAAACAUCAGACUCCAUGCUCUCCAGCUUUUGGACUCAUGGACUUACACCAGUGGUGUGCCAGGGCCUCUUGAGCCUUUGGUCACAGACUGAAGGCUGCACUGUCGGCUUCUCUAAUUUUGAGGUUUUGGGACUCAGACUGAUCCACCACUGGCUUCCUUGCUCCUCAACUUGCAGAUGGCUUCUCAUGGGACUUGACUUUAUGAUCAUAUUUGGCCAAUAAGAUGUUCCUGCCUAAGACUUUGAAUCUGGAAUGGGGAACACAGAGAACAUGAGCAACUAAGAAUUAUUCACAGCACAGCACAGCAGUGCUGACAGCAUUGACAGUCUUGUGGUGCCAGCAAGAAUCCAAAAGAAGUGUCCUAGAUAAAUUCCCUUAAUCAUUGACCAUUUAAUGGGGCUGAUUCAGCCUCAUAAAAAUUUUGUAUGCUUCUUCAUACAAUUUUUAAUUGUGCUGCAAAGGUUAACCAGUGACAAUUUCUGUUGCUUGCACGCAGUAAGUCGACUAAGCAAAAAAAUUCAGGAGAGAUUAUUUUAUAGAAGUCAAUGCAAAUGCAUUAAUUUACAAGAAGUAAAACUGCAAGUUCACUUUGCUGCCUUAUGGCCAGCAUAUUCUCUUUCUUACAAGAGAAGUCUAUAUGGCAAUCUGUGUCAUGAUCAGAAGAUUUGGGAAAGAUGGAAUCCGUGAGAGAGUUUUAUGACACACGGUUACAAUUGAUUACAGGAUCAAACAGUAAAACUCUAAUAUAUAUAUUUAUUCCUAUUAGCAAAGCUUUUAUGCUAUGGAGGAAAAAUAAAAAGAAAUAAGAAAUUCUGAGUUUCUCUAAACUUCUAGCAUGUGGAUGAGCUAAAAACUAUGUCCUCUUGGAUUCCCCAUUUUAAAUAUUUCAUAAUAAUGCAUUAUAAUUGGUACAUGUUAAUACCAAUUUUUUCCUUUGCUGUUUUUGAAGUGGUAUGAAGCACCUGUAACAAGGUUUCCUUAUCAUCCAUUUAAUUAUUAUUGUCCUAUAAUAUACUUUUCAAUAUAGCAACUACUUUUUAUGUUUUGGGAUUACUUUUACUAUUGUUAGAUAAAACCUAUGGUUGAUUGUGUGCCUCUAGAAGAACUUCAAAAGAACAAAAUAAAGCUUGCUAACAAU